AUGAGCAAUUAUGUGAAGCUAAAUGUGGAUGGGGCUUUUGAUCCAGACUUACUCAAGGGUUCGUAUGACGCUGUUAUCAGGGACUCGAAUGGCAGAUUCGUUGCGGCAGGAAACGAAGAUAUCGAUUGGUGCGGAGAUGCGCUUAUCGCCGAGGCACUGGUCUUAUGGUUUGGUCUCAAUUUGGCAAUUACAGUCGGGUGUAACCGCAUAGAAGUGAACUCUGACAACAUCGAGGUGAUAGAGACAAUAAAGAAUUGA
rnacentral:rRNA from 1 species